CCUACGGGUGGCAGCAGUGGGGAAUAUUGCACAAUGGGGGAAACCCUGAUGCUGCGACGCCGCGUGAGUGAAGAAGGCAUUCGGUAUGUAAAGCUCUAUCAGCAGGGACGAAAAUGACGGUGCCUGCUUAAGAAGCCGCGGCUAACUACGUGGCAGCAGCCGCGGUAAUACGUAGGGGGCAAGCGUUGUCCGGAUUUACUGGGUGUAAAGGGAGGGUAGACGGCGGUGCAAGUCUGGAGUGAAAGGCGGGGGCUAAACCCCCGGACUGCUCUGGAAACUGUACGGCUGGAGGGCAGGAGAGGUAAGUGGAAUUCCUAGUGUAGCGGUGAAAUGCGUAGAUAUUAGGAGGAACACCAGUGGCGAAGGCGGCUUACUGGACUGUAACUGACGUUGAGGCGCGAAAGCGUGGGGAGCAAACAGGAUUAGAUACCCUUGUAGUC
rnacentral:rRNA from 1 species